rnacentral:rRNA from 1 species
UACGUAGGGGGCAAGCGUUAUCCGGGAUUAUUGGGCGUAAAGAGUACGUAGGUGGCAACCUAAGCGCAGGGUUUAAGGCAAUGGCUCAACCAUUGUUCGCCCUGCGAACUGGGAUGCUUGAGUGCAGGAGAGGAAAGCGGAAUUCCUAGUGUAGCGGUGAAAUGCGUAGAUAUUAGGAGGAACACCAGUGGCGAAGGCGGCUUUCUGGACUGUAACUGACACUGAGGUACGAAAGCGUGGGGAGCAAACAGG